rnacentral:tRNA from 1 species
GAGGGUAUUGCUCAGUGGUAGAGUGUGUGCUUAGCAGGCAUGAGGUCCUGGGUUCAAUCCUCAGUACCUCUG